rnacentral:rRNA from 1 species
AGGNACAUCCUGCCCAGUGAACUACUUANACGGCCGCGGUAUCCUGACCGUGCAAAGGUAGCAUAAUCAUUUGCCCCCUAAUUAGGGGCUAGCAUGAAUGGACAAACGAGAUCAUACCUGUCUCCUCUUCAUCCCUAAAAUUUUAUCUAUAGGUGAAGAAGCCUAUAUCUUUAUAAAAGACAAGAAGACCCUGNCGAGCUUUAAUUAUCCAUAAAAUAAUGUAACACACUAAACCUUAUACUCCCUCUUAUAUGUAAUUNUUGCUGGGGCGACAAUGGAGCACACAAAACCUCCACCAUACCCAAAACAUCAAGUUUCCCAAAAGAUCCUUCAAAGAUAUUAGGCACUAGCUACCGCAGGGAUAACAGACUAAUCUUCCUCAAGAGCCCAAAUCUACAGGAAGGCUUGGCACCUCGAUGUUGGCUUAGGGUUACACUUGAAUGCAGCCAUUCAAGCUGUGGGUUUGUUCAACCCUUAAUUCCCU